UACGUAGGGUGCGAGCGUUGUCCGGAAUCAUUGGGCGUAAAGAGCGUGUAGGUGGACUGGAAGGUCUGGUGUGAAAGCCCGGGGGCUCAACCCCGGAGGGUCACUGGAAACCAACAGUCUUGAGUCCGGAAGAGGAGAGUGGAAUUCCCUGGUGUAGCGGUGGAAUGCGCAGAUAUCAGGAAGAACACCAAUAGCGAAGGCAGCUCGCUGGGACGGUAUUGACGCUAAGGCGCGAAAGCGUGGGGAGCGAACAGG
rnacentral:rRNA from 1 species